GGGGGUGUUCCUUCGCGGCCGCUGAGGUGCGGGGCCUGAGCCCACCCGUGACGGGCUACGCGGCCAAGACUUGUUUGUGACAGGCUGUGGGGCGCCCCCUUGUCCCUUGUGAUACAGGGCCGGGUGCCCCCAUGUUUGGCUCACAGGGCUGCACAGGUGGAAGCAACUGGCUGAGAUCCCCGGGAUGCUGCGCUGGGGAGAGCCUAUCCUGAGAUCUUCAUAAAUUUCUGGUCAGUGUUUUCUCCAAAGAGUACAAGACACCAGGAUGAUGGGAUGCAGCCAAGGUCGGAGUAACAGGGAUUGAUUGUAGGAAGCCCCAGUGGGAUGCUCCUGGUGGGCUGGGGGAAGUGUUAGCACUGCUGUCAGCUAGUUUGGUGGGACCACAUCAGGAAUAAUGGGGAUGCUCUGGCCGUUCUUUCUGAAGACCGGCGAAGUCAAGCAGGAGCAGGUAUAAAGGAGCACACAGAGGAUUCAGAGGUGCAAAGAUUCCAUCACAGUGAGUUUGGCUUCGCAAAAUCAAGGCCGAGAAAUGAUGUGCUGCAUGUAUAUUGGAGCGGAAAUGGUAGGGAGAAGGACCAUUUAAAGUAAGCAGAUGUUGGUACAAGGACAGCUAAUUAUGGGCUGGCCAUGAACUUGGGAGGCUGGUGACAAGCAGAAGGCUCCUGCAUGUUAGAGCAGAAAGGUGCUGGUCCCUUCCAGUGGUUAUGGAGCAGGGAAGCGCCAGGGCUGCUUUCAAGCAAAGCUGAGCAGUAGUGAUUAUUUGAUGCUCAGAGGCUGGAUGCAGGAGCGUGGGAUUUCUUGCUAGUCUUAUUUAUGAUGGUCUGUCUACCUUUUGUUGGGGCUAGGAGCUCAAAGAUAGCCAAGAUAUUUCAGAAGAGGAUUAGGGUCUGUUUCCCGCAAAGCCUUCCUCCACCUCUAUAAGCUAUUUGUUCUCCUGGUACACAGACUCGUGCUCGUUUAAGUGCUGCCUGGCACGCAAAUGUUUUUCUGAACUGCGGCAGAAGCCUUUUGCUGAGAAGAGCCACGUGGUGGAAGUUAACUUUGUAUUUAGGAGCUGGUGGCAUCUGACACAGCUCUUACAAAGCUGGCUGGUUUCCGUGCAAAACGAAGGCAGGCUGUACUGGGAAAGGUGAUCCUGGAAACACUUGUAUUUGUUUUCAUUUUUCCUCAUGCUUAGAGCAUAUUACUUCUCUUGCUGACAUACCUGUGGCAAGCAGAGGUUACGGGAGUUAUUAAAGUAGCAAUGGAAAAGGAUAUUCGAAACGGGCACGAUUUUGCUCUCCUCCCAUGAAGAGUAUUGUCCUUGGCUGAGACAGGAUGAACAGAUUGAGGUCAUGGUUGGCAUAAAAUGAGCAGGAUCUGUCCCAUCACUUGCACAAGGCAUUCUUUAUGGGCAGGAGGGGAGACAGCCAAAAAUAAAGGGCUUUUACUGACUCUUGACACCUUGCCUCUACCUCGCUCUGCUGCCUGUCAGGCAGCUCCUGCUCCUCUCCGCCAGACUCUAAGCUUUCUGGUUUGGACCUGAAAGUCCUUGUAGUUAGAGCACGCACCGUCCCUGGGUAGUUCUCUCUCCACCUCUUGUUCUCAGCCCCUCGACCCCCUCAAACAGGUACAAAGGAUGGACAUCAUUGCCUGACCGAGGUCCGUAAGAGCCUACUGCCUCCAAGAUUCCAGUUUUUUGGGGUGAGGUGCUGUCCCCUGGACAACAAACAUCAUCUGUGUGGCUUGGCAUGUGUCAUUCCUUCCUUGCGCCCUCCUCCACCUCCAGACUUGGGAGAAAAUACUCUUGGUGGUGCCUAGAGAGCUGUCUUUGAAAGUCAGGCCACGAAAGAGCUGGUGAAUUGCUUUUCUGCCCAAGGCAAGUGAAGUGUUCCCGGCAGGGUAAUCAAUCUCCCUGAGAGCUCCCCCAGCAGAAGGUGAUCGCCCUGACUUUACGGAGUGUGUGGUGUCUCCCCUCUAAUGGCCACAAGUCCCCCCUCCCAGCCAGCAGCACGCAGCAGCUCACCCCUGGGAUGGCGUAUGUAGGUGUGUUUUUAAGGUGGUAAAAUGCUUUGUGAAGGAAAGCGCUGGUCAUUACGUGUGCCAACAGGAGAGCUCCCAGCUGUUCAGCUUCCUUGGCAUAAAAUCACAGCAGCAGGUAAAUCCUGGAGAAAUAAAACGAACCCAAUCAAAUUAGCCCAGGACCAUGUACAGGAGGUGGGCAAUGUUUUCGCGGUGUUUCUUCCUCUCUUGCAGGUGCCAAAUCAUUGCGGGUCAUUUCAGCUUGCCGCGGUUCAAACCAGCAGCUCUUUGAUGGUCUCGCAGUACCAUGUUACUCUUGUGUUUCCUGAAAUGCCUGUCAGGAAGCUUCAUACACUUCAGGUCAGACGCUCUUUCCCUGAAGAAGAAAAGGAUAUUUAUAGCCGGGUAGGACCAUAACGGGGAAAUCUCCAGGCUGCAGUACCUGUCAGAUGAGGUUACUUAUGGCCCCAAUAGUAACAGCCAACCUGGAACCCACUCCAGGGAAGCAAAAAGGGGGAGAAAGAUAAUCAAGUUUCCUGAACUUGGCCCGAAGUCAGAUGUGAUUUGAUUUGGAUUGCAGACAGCCCGGGGAAGUGACUCGGAGGCAACUCGGAGAGUUGGACUUGGUUUCUUGCCUCGCAGAGGAGAAACCCUGACGCUGUGUUCGCGUUCCCAUGGCUGGGGGUGAUCUCCGGUCUGUCUCAGCAGCCUGGAGCCUGCGUGGAUCCUCCCAGAGUCUUCUCCAACCACUUGAGACCUUGGGUGCUGGAUGAGGAAGCACAGGUGAUGACAGAAGAGCGAUGAUGCUGGGCUACACCAUGGUUCUACACCAGAAACAUCUGUGCUCGGAGAGGUGGAGGACACCACAAACCCAUGAGGCAGUGGCCUCAAGAGUUCACCGUAUGGAGGGGAGCACUCUCUAGAAAGACCCUGCCUGGGUUUAACUCAGCUGAGGCCACUGGAGCACAGCACAGAUGGGGGGGAAUAAAAUGUCAGCUUGCGAAUGGACUAUCAGAGACCAAGGCAAGGACCAACCGCUGCUUCGUCUUUGCGAGCAGAUACCCACAUACAAAUAGCCACCGUGCUCUACGCUUGAUGCAUUGUCUUCCUACAGACACAGGGUAAACUCUGCUCCUCCCUUCUGGCCUGGGUUGCAAUGAUGGAUUAAGUAGGGCACAGUAGCAGGAGUCUUUGUGGGAACAGUACAUUCGAAGUGAACCCACGCACCGGGCUGGCGGGUUUGCUUGUUGAAGGGAUUGCUGGUGAUGGGGGAUUUCUCCAGCCAGGGCGUCUGAACUGAGCAAUGACAAGCUGCCCUGUUUAGCCCCAUGAAGAGCCCAGCCUGGAUGGAGCUGCGAUGUCUCCUUCAGGAAGCCAGGAUGGUGGCCGGAAAGAGCUGGAGAUGGCAAGAGGGAGAGUGGACAGGAGAAAGAAGAGUGACUCAGGCAUUGCAUCAGCCUCACCUUUGCUCCCUGCUGCGAAUAAAGAACAGACACUUGAUAGCAGCAAGUGCCGGUGCAUCUGGAAGUACAGCGAGAAGUGGGAUGCAGGGAGGAGACCACCUACUCGUUCUCAAAACAGACUGACCCAGGGGUCUCUUUCCUCGUGGUUUCCACCAGCUCAAGCUGGUGUCACCAUGUCUCAGUUGUCUCAGUGGCUGGGGAGGCCGAAUCCCUUCCCUGUGCGCAAGCUGGGAUCCGUCUUGUGUCGGCUGAAUGCGAUCUGCUGCCUCCAGCCCCUCGGAGCCCCUGCCUGCCUCUCGCUAGCCCAGCCUGGAUUUGGCAUUCACCGUCACGUGCCUCCUUUCUGCAUUCAUGGAAAGUGUCAGCCUGGCAUUUCCCGCUCAGCUCCUAGGGACAAAGCAGGUCAUGACUUAUGCGUUUUAUCAUUAAAAAGAUAAUUUCCUCUAGAUGUGUGCAAUAAGACAAUGGCACUGACCUGUGAUCCUGGCAUUGCGCAGCGUUAAUGAUUUCCCUUUGCAGGUAAUAAGCAGCAAAUGUACACAUUUUGGGGAGAUCUGAAUUAUUUUUUUUCCUUUUAAGACUGCUGUCUUCCUAGGCCAGACUUAAUUAGCAGACCUCAUUAUUUCCUCAAAUGUAACUUGACUUCCAUUGAAUGAGAAUUGUUCAGUGGAUGGGGAGCAGCAGAGCGGUGCUGCAAUAUUCAUAUUGUUUUAAUUGCAACAUUAACAUUUCAUGCUGCUCUUGGCAUACUUUCAGGUGCGGCCCUUUAGCUCAAUGCAAUGCUGUGAAAGGUUGGAUCAGAACAAUUAGGACAGAGUGACUGGAUUUCUGGAUUAUUUUUUUUUUUUUCUUUUAAAUGAAUGCAAGCCUGGAUUCAAUCCCCAUCAGUCCUUUUGCUGGGCAGAACAGGGAGUCAAGCACCCCUGAAGUGUAAAUCCUGUUUUUGGAAUAAAGGAUGUGCUGUAGUGCAUGUUUAAAUUCUCUUUUUGUGAAGCUGAAGCCCCGCAGGUACAAGUGAUACGUGAUCCACCAGGCUGAUGGCACCUCCUGGGACUUGACCUUUACCGGGUGAAUCGGAGAAGUCCCAAAAUGCGUCUGGCCACC